UUUUAUUAUAAUAAUUAAUAAUAAAAUCUGCUCAAUGAAAAAUAUUUCAAUAGCCGCAAUAUUUUGUGCUAAGGUAGCAUAAUAAUUUGUCUUUUAAUUAAAGACUAGAAUAAAAGAUUUAACAUUUAAAUUAAUUUUUUAAAUUCAAUUAUUAAAGUUAUUUUAAAUAUAACAAAAUAUUUAUAAAAAAAAAAGACGAUAAGACCCUAUCGAACUUAACUUAAGUUUAACUGGGGCAGUUAAUAAAUUAAAACUUUUAUAAUUAUUAAUUAAAAAAAUUUGACCUAAUACAAUUAAAUAUAUGAUCAAGUUACCAUAGGGAUAACAGUAUAAUUAAAUUUUAAAGAUCUUAUUAAAAAUUUAGAUUAUAACCUCGAUGUUGAUUAAUUUUCUUUUUAACGCAAUAGUAAAAUAAAGAAAGUCUGUUCGACUUUUAAAUAUAUUACA
rnacentral:rRNA from 1 species